rnacentral:rRNA from 1 species
GAUGAACGCUGGCGGCGUGCUUAACACAUGCAAGUCGAACGGUGAAGCCAAGCUUGCUUGGUGGAUCAGUGGCGAACGGGUGAGUAACACGUGAGCAACCUGCCCUGGACUCUGGGAUAAGCGCUGGAAACGGCGUCUAAUACUGGAUAUGAGCCUCUUCCGCAUGGUGGGGGUUGGAAAGAUUUUUUGGUCUGGGAUGGGCUCGCGGCCUAUCAGCUUGUUGGUGAGGUAAUGGCUCACCAAGGCGUCGACGGGUAGCCGGCCUGAGAGGGUGACCGGCCACACUGGGACUGAGACACGGCCCAGACUCCGACGGGAGGCAGCAGUGGGGAAUAUUGCACAAUGGGCGCAAGCCUGAUGCAGCAACGCCGCGUGAGGGACGACGGCCUUCGGGUUGUAAACCUCUUUUAGCAGGGAAGAAGCGAAAGUGACGGUACCUGCAGAAAAAGCACCGGCUAACUACGUGCCAGCCGCCGCGGUAAUAC